GAUGAACGCUGGCGGCGUGUCUAAUACAUGCAAGUCGAGCGAACGGACGAGAAGCUUGCUUCUCUGAUGUUAGCGGCGGACGGGUGAGUAACACGUGGAUAACCUACCUAUAAGACUGGGAUAACUUCGGGAAACCGGAGCUAAUACCGGAUAAUAUUUUGAACCGCAUGGUUCAAAAGUGAAAGACGGUCUUGCUGUCACUUAUAGAUGGAUCCGCGCUGCAUUAGCUAGUUGGUAAGGUAACGGCUUACCAAGGCAACGAUGCAUAGCCGACCUGAGAGGGUGAUCGGCCACACUGGAACUGAGACACGGUCCAGACUCCUACGGGAGGCAGCAGUAGGGAAUCUUCCGCAAUGGGCGAAAGCCUGACGGAGCAACGCCGCGUGAGUGAUGAAGGUCUUCGGAUCGUAAAACUCUGUUAUUAGGGAAGAACAUAUGUGUAAGUAAUUGUGCACAUCUUGACGGUACCUAAUCAGAAAGCCACGGCUAACUACGUG
rnacentral:rRNA from 1 species